GGGCCAGACUCCUACGGGAGGCAGCAGUGAGGAAUAUUGGUCAAUGGCCGAGAGGCUGAACCAGCCAAGUCGCGUGAGGGAAGACGGCCCUACGGGUUGUAAACCUCUUUUGUCGGGGAGCAAAAGACGCCACGCGUGGCGUUCCGAGAGUACCCGAAGAAAAAGCAUCGGCUAACUCCGUGCCAGCAGCCGCGGUAAUACGGAGGAUGCGAGCGUUAUCCGGAUUUAUUGGGUUUAAAGGGUGCGUAGGCGGGCUGUUAAGUCAGCGGUCAAAUGUCGGGGCUCAACCCCGGCCUGCCGUUGAAACUGGCGGCCUCGAGUGGGCGAGAAGUAUGCGGAAUGCGUGGUGUAGCGGUGAAAUGCAUAGAUAUCACGCAGAACUCCGAUUGCGAAGGCAGCAUACCGGCGCCCAACUGACGCUGAAGCACGAAAGCGUGGGUAUCGAACAGGAUUAGAUACCCGUGUA
rnacentral:rRNA from 1 species